rnacentral:rRNA from 1 species
AGUCGAACGGAGCCGAGAGGAGCUUGCUUUUCUUAGCUUAGUGGCGAACGGGUGAGUAACGCGUGAGUAACCUGCCCUGGAGUGGGGGACAACAGUUGGAAACGACUGCUAAUACCGCAUAAGCCCACGGCCCGGCAUCGGGCUGAGGGAAAAGGAUUUAUUCGCUUCAGGAUGGACUCGCGUCCAAUUAGCUAGUUGGUGAGGUAACGGCCCACCAAGGCGACGAUUGGUAGCCGGACUGAGAGGUUGAACGGCCACAUUGGGACUGAGACACGGCCCAGACUCCUACGGGAGGCAGCAGUGGGGGAUAUUGCACAAUGGGGGAAACCCUGAUGCAGCGACGCCGCGUGGAGGAAGAAGGUUUUCGGAUUGUAAACUCCUGUCGUUAGGGACGAUAAUGACGGUACCUAACAAGAAAGCACCGGCUAACUACGUGCCAGCAGCCGCGGUAAAACGUAGGGUGCAAGCGUUGUCCGGAAUUACUGGGUGUAAAGGGAGCGCAGGCGGACCGGCAAGUUGGAAGUGAAAACUAUGGGCUCAACCCAUAAAUUGCUUUCAAAACUGCUGGCCUUGAGUAGUGCAGAGGUAGGUGGAAUUCCCGGUGUAGCGGUGGAAUGCGUAGAUAUCGGGAGGAACACCAGUGGCGAAGG